CAGCAGCCGCGGUAAGACGGAGGAUGCAAGCGUUAUCCGGAAUUACUGGGCGUAAAGCGUGCGUAGGCGGUAACGUAAGUCGGAUGUGAAAGCCCCGGGCUUAACCUGGGAAUUGCAGUCGAUACUGUGUAGCUAGAGAGUGGUAGGGGUAGAGGGAAUUCCUAGUGUAGCGGUGAAAUGCGUAGAUAUUAGGAAGAACACCAGUGGCGAAGGCGCUCUACUGGGCCAUUACUGACGCUGAUGGACGAAAGCUAGGGGAGCGAAAGGGAUUAGAUACCCCUGUAGUCCUAGCUGUAAACGAUGGACACUAGGUGUUGGCCGUAUCGACCCGGUCAGUAUCGAAGCAAACGCGUUAAGUGUCCCGCCUGGGGAGUACGCACGCAAGUGUGAAACUCAAAGGAAUUGACGGGGGCCCGCACAAGCGGUGGAGUAUGUGGUUUAAUUCGAUGCAACGCGAAGAACCUUACCAGGGAUUGACAUCCUACGAAUCUUCUUGAAAGGGAAGAGUGCCUUCGGGAGCGUAGAGACAGGUGGUGCAUGGCUGUCGUCAGCUCGUGUCGUGAGAUGUUGGGUUAAGUCCCGCAACGAGCGCAACCCUCGUCCUUAGUUGCCAUCAUUAAGUUGGGCACUUUAAGGAGACUGCCGGUGACAAACCGGAGGAAGGUGGGGAUGACGUCAAGUCAUCAUGCCCCUUACAUCCUGGGCUACACACGUACUACAAUGCAACGGACAAAGGGCAGCCAACUAGCGAUAGUGCGCUAAUCCCAUAAACCGUUGCUCAGUUCAGAUUGCAGGCUGCAACUCGCCUGCAUGAAGGCGGAAUCGCUAGUAAUCGCAGGUCAGCAUACUGCGGUGAAUACGUUCCCGGGCCUUGUACACACCGCCCGUCACACCAUGGAAGUUGGCCACGCCCGAAGUCGUUACCCCAACCUUAGGGAGGAGGAUGCCGAUGGCAGGGCUGAUGACUGGGGUGAAGUCGUAACAAGGUAGCCGUA
rnacentral:rRNA from 1 species